rnacentral:rRNA from 1 species
GGGAUGCUGGCUCAGGACGAACGCUGGCGGCCUGCCUAAUACAUGCAAGUCGAGCGCAGGAAACUGACGGAACUCUUCGGAGGGAAAGCAGCGGAAUGAGCGGCGGACGGGUGAGUAACACGUAAGGAACCUGCCUCAAGGAUUGGGAUAACUCCGAGAAAUCGGAGCUAAUACCGGAUAGUUCAACGGACCGCAUGGUCCGCUGAUGAAAGGCGCUUCGGCGUCACCUUGAGAUGGCCUUGCGGUGCAUUAGCUAGUUGGUGGGGUAACGGCCCACCAAGGCGACGAUGCAUAGCCGACCUGAGAGGGUGAUCGGCCACACUGGGACUGAGACACGGCCCAGACUCCUACGGGAGGCAGCAGUAGGGAAUCUUCCACAAUGGACGAAAGUCUGAUGGAGCAACGCCGCGUGAGUGAUGAAGGUUUUCGGAUCGUAAAACUCUGUUGUAAGGGAAGAACACGUACGAGAGGAAAUGCUCGUACCUUGACGGUACCUUACGAGAAAGCCACGGCUAACUACGUGCCAGCAGCCGCGGUAAUACGUAGGUGGCAAGCGUUGUCCGGAAUUAUUGGGCGUAAAGCGCGCGCAGGCGGCCUUUUAAGUCUGAUGUGAAAGCCCCCGGCUCAACCGGGGAGGGCCAUUGGAAACUGGAAGGCUUGAGUACAGAAGAGAAGAGUGGAAUUCCACGUGUAGCGGUGAAAUGCGUAGAGAUGUGGAGGAACACCAGUGGCGAAGGCGACUCUUUGGUCUGUAACUGACGCUGAGGCGCGAAAGCGUGGGGAGCAAACAGGAUUAGAUACCCUGGUAGUCCACGCCGUAAACGAUGAGUGCUAGGUGUUGGGGGGUUUCCGCCCCUCAGUGCCCAACCUAACACAUUAAGCCCUCCGCAUGGGGA